GAAAAAACUUCAGCCUCUCCGCUGCACUAGCCACAUUCAAAUCUUUAUAACCAUAUACAGCUAAUGGCUAUUUUAUUGGACAGCCGCAUGCCAGUGUCGCAGAAAAUUGAAUUGGGUAGUUCCGAUCUAGAUGACGGGGAAAGGGGAAGUCGCCCUCUGUUGGUAAUCUAAGCCUUUCUGAGCGCUGCGAGGUCACCGUUAAAUCACGGUAAUUCUCCAGACACAGAUAAUGCUAAUGCAUUCCUAGCUAUGAAUGCAUUUAUUAGCAUAAGCUCUACCAACAAAUAAUAAUUGAACGCCUACAGCAUGUAAGGCUUUUGUUGAGGAGAUGGAGGAAGUGAAAACAAUAGUAAACAAUUAUCAAGUAAUUAAGAGCCAGGCAGCGUUACAUGCAUUCUCUUAUGAUGCCUCUAGAAAUUUAUGAGAUCGGUGCUAUUAUUUCCAGUUUAUAGAUGAGGGUGCUGAAGUUUAUGCCGGUGAUGACACAACUACUAAACCCAGGAUCUUAAGUGUUAAGCCAUAUUGCCUCUUUUUGAGGCAGAAUAAAACAGUCUUUGCCUUCAAAUAGCCUUAGAAUCUGAUAUGGGAAAUAAAGACCUGCUCUAGUAAACAGGAUGAGAGAGAAUCUGCUAAAUGCCAGAGGAUUUUGAAGAAAACGUAAUUAAUAAAAUCAAGGGAGUAAAACAAUAACCUUCAGCUUGAUUUUUGUUUGUUGUUGGAGGAGGAAGAGACCAGGAGCUAAAGCUUUAAGAAGGACAGAUAAAAGUUGGAUUUACAGUAAUGGAAGUGGUUUUGCUGAGGAGCAGUGAAAACAUUGCCAUGAGGCUGGCAUUUGAGAACCAUCUACUUUAUUUUUCUGAACCAUAGCUUGGCCAUCUGUCAAAUAGUUAUACUCUUGGCUGAAGCUAGCGUCUAGCCUUACUGGUGCUCACCACUUCACACUUUUUCAAGAGGAUUUGAUGGGAUGAUGACCCAGAAAGCUGUGCAGUUGCCCCUUUGCGUGGAACCAUCUGAUUUUUGACUUAUAGGUUCUCCUUGGCCUCGUAUCUUGCCUUGCAGAUUUCCCUCCCUUCUGUAAACAGCCUCUGGACUCCAGCUGAGUUCCCCGGCAUGGCAUUGCCGAAAGGCAGGGAAGACAGGCCGCCACAGCAGAACGCCAGACGGACCUGGGGCUCUUGAGCAGAAGCUGACACUUCAGUAAUAGGAAGCUGGCUACAAAGCCCAAGGUCAGGAGCAGCCUCCGCACAAACGUUAAUUAUGCCCCAGAUUGGACACCUUCUGUCUCCUGUGGCUUCAUCCAGACUGGUUUGCACUGUGAUUUCUCGCGUACCGAUCUGUCUCCCCCACUGGAGCCUGAGCUCCUUCAGGGCAGGAAUUAUAUCUAAUGUUUUUCUCCCACAAAGCAAAUUCUACAUAGUAAGUGUUCAACCAACUUGACAUCAAUGGGACCCCAGCUUCCUGAAAAUUUAACAGUGGGCUCACACAUCACUGACAGGACUCCAGAGAAGGAAGACACCACCAACCAGGGGAGGGAGUCGCUUCCAGGACAUGGUACAAGGACCAACUGGAGAUCUCCUUUUCUUUUGUCAGUUCCCUGACGCGGUCUGCUCUCUGCCACCUCCACGCCUUGUGCACACAACCAUAUGUGUCAUUUGAGGCAUAUGAGAAGGAGGAGCGAAGGGAGCCGCUGCUGACAGGUUUGCUCCACACUUGGAAUUCUGCCACAGAAAUUCCAGAGCCUCUGUUGCUCCUCCUGCCCCACCCCACCCCACCCCUAGUCAUUGGAAGAUCUUUUCCAUCAGAGCAUUUGCUCAAGAAUGCCCUUGCAUCGUCCUCCCUAACGUUUGAUUUGACUCUUGGCUGACUCUGUUUGGAAUUCCAUGAAGACUCCUAAAAGCUGGUGGGCAGUGGAGAUGACGGAUGUGGUGGCUUUACUUUGCAGACAGAGAUGUGCCCAGGACCUUUGCACACUGGCCAGGCAGGGCUGGUCCCUGCGACAGGCUUCACUCCACAGGGUUGGCUGCCUGGGCUUGUUUGAGUCAACCUCACAACAGUUUGGAUAAAUGGGCCCCGGAUGUUGGGUGGAUGCCUUGCCCCGGUGUUCACCAAAACUACAUGGCUAAUUUUAUCUCGAUUCAGAAUCUGCUUUCUCUGCCACUGAUUGGCUGAUUGGGGAGACCAGGAUCUCAAAGUUAAAUCUCAAACAGGAGACUGAAAAGCAAGCAAUUUCCAAGGAAGACUUCAAUAUAUUCAUGGGAGUAGGGGGUGGGCAAAUAUUCUCUUUAAAAAAAAACCUAGUGGGGGGAGUUCUUUUAGAAAUUCAUGUGAAAAAGAGAAAUCCUCUUAGCUUCCCAAAUUUGAAGUGGCAUUUAAAUUUAAGUUCUCUUUUACUUAAUGUCAGAGAAGCUUUGAGACAGUCCUUAUUCAUCCUCCAAUGCUUUAUCGUGUUUUCAGCCUGUUUCAAAGGCAGCCAUGUCAGUACGUGCAGUGGAGUGGAGUCUUCACAAGGCAGCUCAUUUGCCUGAAAUGGCUAGGAAAUCACAUCCAAACAAAGAAAUUACUAAGAGCAUUUUCUUCAGGUAUAAAAAAGUGUGGUUUAUUCACCCAGAACUUGGUUUUCUUUGAGGUGUUGAGUGUCCCUUUUGAGACUUAAAAUGCUGCUUUCAUCUGGUGAAAUCUCAUCCCAGCUGGAGUCACGGACACGCUGAUCUGGAGCCCUUAUUGACUUGACAGCCAUCCACAUGCAGAACUACAGUGCUUUUGGCCGCCUGCUUUGUGGGUAGGGAUAACAGGAUAACCCACAGGAUUUACCCACAGGGUAAAUGCAAGAAAAUUCACUGGAAUGUCUUGUGCUGAUAAUUUAACAAAAUUCUCCCUCCGGCACUUUCUGACAGGGCAUGGGGAUUUUCUCCACUGUCAUCACACUUCAGGAGCGAUUGUGUCAUCCAGGUGCAGGUGUUCUUGGCUGUCCUUUACCUGUUGUCUCCUCCUGUCACAAAUAGCCCGGAAAGAACAUGACUGGUCCAUCUCUAUUAAUGGGGAAUUACCAAGUGGUUGCCUAGCAACUGGCACAGGGCAUCAAUAUGGUCUCUGUGGUGGAAUGUAGAGUGGUUGGCUCGCCUUUCAAGAAUGACUGUAUUUGCAUAUUUCUUUUGGGCUUCUAGAAAAAUAGGUAUGUUUUCCUGGAUUUGAGGCUAUUAAAAUGGCCUUUUGUAUUGCUUUACCCCAGUGUUCAUCUUAUAGUGGCCCAGUAUCAUAAAAAGUGACAACUAUCUGAUCAAAUCAUUAAUACAGCAAUUGCUUCAAUUAAAUUCAAUUCAGUAAGCAUCUUCUACGUACCAGAUACAAUGCUAGAUACUGCAAGGACUUAUAAGGAUA
rnacentral:lncRNA from 1 species